UACGAAGGGGGCUAGCGUUACUCGGAAUGACUGGGCGUAAAGGGCGCGUAGGCGGUUCAUUUAGUUAGGCGUGAAAUUCCUGGGCUCAACCUGGGGGCUGCGCUUAAUAUAGGUGGACUGGAGUGUGAAAGAGGGUCGUGGAAUUCCCAGUGUAGAGGUGAAAUGCGUAGAUAUUGGGAAGAACACCGGUGGCGAAGGCGGCGACCGGGUUCAUUACUGACGCUGAGGCGCGAAAGCGUGGGGAGCAAACAGG
rnacentral:rRNA from 1 species